rnacentral:lncRNA from 1 species
UCAGGAGGCGUGUGCAAACCGCAGCGCUGCUGGCAGCGGGCUGGCAGGAUGAGCUGCUGACCCCCAAAGAGCAGCCGUGAUCCGAAAACGCGGAUUCUGCUCGGCGAGAGCGCCCCAAUACUGAAUUCUCUUGCUCAGAAAAACUGUAGUUUUCCAGUCAUUCUGUAACGUCAGCACUUUGGAGACUGAGUAAUCAUGUGGUUCACAUCUCUCUUUUUUUUUUUUUCCCCUUUUCUUUUCCAGUUUCUACAAGCGAGGUGUAUACAAGCUUUGGCGUUUGAAAUUGUAGCACAUUUAAAUAUUUCACUUCUACCCUAAUCCAAGGGGCAAUUCUCCUGAGUGCGCUGCUGAGAUUUCUCCUCUUAGGAAAGAGAUACCUAAAUAUACAUUUGCAAUACUGAUGAUGUAGGAGAGGCGCGGUGACGUUCGCUGUGGCUGUGAGCUGUGAUGUGAAUCACAAGAAGAUAGGCCUAUAAUCACGAGCUUUGUACUCCAGGAAAACUCUCAUUCGUGGCAAGAUACCAGGAUUUAAGGUCAGUUUAAGAACAGCUUCAGCCACCACUGGUGUAUAAGGAUUAGACAGUAUUUCCAUUUUAAAAUCCACUAGCAUCACACACGAUGCAGCAAACAUGCGCGUCGUGCUUGCACGGCUGCCGCUGGUAGCGCUUUGCUACGCGCGUCUCCCUUUCCCGACAGAUGCGUUUACUGCUCCAGCGGCGAGCGCCUCGGAGGCGGUGGUGGCAAAGCGAAAGGCAACGCCGCGGUGGCAGGCGGGAUACGCGCGGCCAGCCCACCGUCCACUGCGCUGGGACGGAAACUAUAGCGUUGAAUGUGCUCACGCAGUACGAAAGGUGAGUUAGGCGGCUAGCGCUUGCGCUUGCAGGAGAACACCAAGUUUGGGUCAUUUAGAGAGGGAAUUUCUGAGGGAAACGUUCGUUCCCGUAAGUUAGGUGGUGAGAGAGGGAAAGGCCAGGCUGGCGCUUCUGCGGCCAGGGCAGGGGGACCUGGGGGACGGACGAGGCCCCAAGACCGUCCACGUUCAACUCAGCUCACCUGCCUUGAGGUUCCUCAUUUUUGCUGUUCGGAAGAACAAUCAAGGGACUGGCCUUUUUACACCCGCUGACCGGGCAAUCAGAAGCCCUUAAGCAGCUUGACUACCGACUCCUUUACUAAAGUAAUAAAAGUGGACGGGAUAAAAGACA